UUCUUCGACUAAAGGGCUAGCACAGAGUUCUCCAUCCAUUUCAAUGUUGCCUAGAUUCACAAGAUUGCUAUCUUCUUGAAGAGCACUGCCCAAUUCUUUGGUUUUUAUCUUGACCUUAACACCUUUUGGGUUGGUCUGUGAUUUGUAAUGGCCCAGUCAGAGUCAUAGAACCCUGGUUGGUUCACGACAUCAAUCGUCUCUCGUUGUGUCUAAUUUCGGAAAUAGCAGUCAGAGCCUCCAGCGGGUGUGUGAUGAAUGCACCAAUCAGAAAACGUGUUUGAAAACUUCAACAGCCAAUCACAACAGUGAUAAGGGAAACGUCGGAGCAGACGACACCAGAAAAAUUUAAGCUUGAAAAAAAUCACUGACAAUGGCCGUUGAAUAACUCAGUUUCCCUCGAUAGAUGACUCUGAUUCUAGUUUCCACCACUGUGCCCCGCCCAAAAACCGUCGAAGUUUUAGACACACAGACCAACGAAACGCGGUAUAGGGAUUCCUCUCAGCGUGAACCAACCAGGGUUCUAUGACUGUCCCAGUUUAACGAUCCCUGUCCCAGCAAAAGGCUGCUUCAACCUUUUCAAUUUUUUAAUUCGUUUUCCCUUUCCCGACGGACUUUAUACUUAAGAAGUGAACGAGAACUUUGCAAUUUUCCUUCUACUAUUUUAGUCAUUGCUUUUUCACUGACUUUCCCUCUAUGCAACUUUUCCAUUUUGACAGCCGACUAUGUUUCUAAAUUGUGAUAUGGUUUUUUGUUUUAAAUCCUAGACGAUACGAAUCAAAAUCCAAUUACCCAUCGUCUAGACGAUAAGUAUCGCUUUAAAAUUGACGCCGUAGCUAUUCAUGACGUAUCGUCUAGUUGUGCGCGACCAGCCGGUCCGUUGUUGUAGACUUUGGCCCCUCAAGUGGACAUCUUCGAUAAAAGCACCCAACUUUUUUUAUAUGAAGAAGAUUACCCGUGUAAGAAACCAAUCGGUCAUCAGAGCUCGUAACCGCCAUGAAAGUUCGUGCGAUGCAUAAGGAGAAAAGGGCAAGACUCAUGAGCGAUUAAAUUUUCAGAAUGUUUGUUUAUCUCAGCUCACGUAUGUUAUGCUUGCGACUUAAAGAUCUUCAAUGUAUUAUCCGUUGCACCACUUACCAUCAAUGAAGGAUUUGACCAAUCGGCGCAAAGAAUUUUGCCUUCAUGCCCUACCAUGUCAUACAAUGGUGCAUUUGGACUGCAAAAUAAAGAAUUAUCAACCAA